rnacentral:lncRNA from 1 species
UUUCUCUCUCACAUAAAAGGAAUUUGAAAGAACAGAGUCAAGAUCAGAUAAUAAAGCUCAGAGAGGAUAGCCACUUCCUCAAGGACACAGUCAACCAAACAUGCAGCUUUGAGAGGCAUGCACAUGGAGAGCCACAGGUAUGGACCAAUGUUAGCCAAUCAUCCACCUGACAAUAGCAACUGAUUCAAGACGGGAGCUCAAGAACCAAGUAGGGCCUGAGGGCUUUACCUGAAGUGAAAUAUGAACAUCCAAUGGCAAAAAGAAAUACUCUCUCCACUGGAUUGUUAUGCCUGGGCCUGCAGC